CUGGAGGCUGAAUCAGCCAAUGGGAACUUCCGGUCACACCGCGACUCCCAGGGAGGGGAGGGGCUGGAGGCUGAAUCAGCCAAUGGCCAAAGAUCUAACCAACUGUGACUAUACAAAGAAGCCUCGGUAAAAAUGCCAAAGGACCGGGUUCACAAGCUUCUGGAGAUUGGGAAGAGUGCUGUGCGGGGAGGGAUGGAAGCCCCACAGCCUUUCCCCAGACCUGUCCCUAUGAUCUCUUCCUCUGGCGGUUGAUUCUUAGCCUUUGUCACCUCCCUGAGCCACCAGUAAAGAAACCCUGCGAGUAACCAGCACAGCAAGGAACCAGAACUGCAGAAGCCACAUUUAAGUUUACAUCUGAGCACCUACAGAGGGAGACUCCUUCCAGUUAUACCUUCCUCAUACGUAGGUUCAGGGCCCCGUUCCCCUGACUCUCAGGGCUGCCCGCACCCACAGACUUCACCAAUGGCACUACGGACGGAUGCGGCCCGGCACCCGCGUGCCCUGGAGAGACCACGGCAAAACAGAAACAUUAAAUAAAAGGUUUCCACAGUAUCUUGAACUACUUUACUAGUAUGGAUGGCAUAACUUGAAGCGUCCCGAAGCUGCUUAGGCUCAGACGGCAGAACCAGAUGACAACAGCUGAGUUUUCUGACAUCUAACAGACCCGUUAAAGAUCACUUAUCCAUAAAGCAGCUCAAAUGACAUGGCUAUUUAACAGUUAAGUUGUUAAAAUAAUUUAAAAUGGUUAAAAUACACUAUAGAUGCUUAUAAUUAAAACAAAAAUAAAACUGAAUAGUGGUGGGAGGUUGUGAAUAAUGUUAUGUUAAGAAGAACAGAUUAACUGAUAAAAUGCAAAUAAAGACCUGAUGAUGAUUUUACAGGAAACGUCUGGAACUAUUCACUAAGAUCUGCUGACAGGGUGACAAAGCAGCGCCACCAACUUGUACCGUAAGUCACAGGUUCAGCUGUGCUCUUCCUCAACACAGGUUUCCACGCGAUGCUGCCCCUACAGGUGUAUUCAGUACUCCCUGAACAGAAAGCAGUGCUCCUACUGACCUUAGCAGGUUUACAGACGAGGAAUUAGAGAAGCAAAUAAGCCAAAUCAGAAGGAAUAAAAGAAGUUCUGGGAGACACACACGGUCCAGGUUGAUAAGGAAGCCAGACUCAAAGUCCUUAACACAAAACCCACACUUCGUCAUCUGGAGCAACCCAACGUCCUAUUCUAGAAAUCGGAUGGAAGGGCUUCUGCGAAAGUCACCGAGGGAGAGGGAUCCGGCGGGCAUGCCAAGUGGCUACGAUAUACAGUUACCGGAAAGAAGACCCGUCACAACACGCUUCACGCACCCAGAACAGUCAGCUUAACAAAGCAGGUAUACUCACUCGCGGAAUGUAACGGUCUUUUCUGCCAUGAUUGGGAUCCUCCUGAACCUCGGGGGGCCAAAGGACCGCAAUAAAAGAGACCACUGCGGGGUGGGGAGAAGGAAGGAUACAGACUGGGAUAAAGUGCCAGGGAGAUGAACCUGGGGACAUAGGAUUUAAUACAAGUACACUACGGGGCGUCUGGGUGGCUCAGUCGGUUAAGCGUCCCACCCUUGGUUUCAGCUCGGGUCAUUAUCUUGUGGUUUGUGAGAUCUGACAACGACCCCCUUGUCAGGCUCUGUGCUGACAGCAUGGAGC